AUGGAGUGGCAAGAAGAGGAUGAAUACAGUUCCAUUUUUUCCAAGAGAUAUUCCAUUAUGAUGGCGGAAGAAUCCUCAUUACCAAUUAUUUAUUACCGAUCACAAAAUUUGUUAUCGAAUACUUCCUUUCACAAACGGGGAGCUAAUAGUGGUAGUGAUACAGUGGGAGUAGAAAGAGGUGAAGGAGUGAUUGCCAUGACUACGACAGGAGCUCAGUAUGCCCUUGCAGCAUCCACCAGAGCUAAUAACAGUGGGGGUAACUCUACAACAGUGGGGGUAGAACCUAAGCCAAGCGUUGUUGUCGUGACUACUUCUAGCUCCAGUGGCAGUGGUAAUGCAGCACAAAGUCAAUCUACGAGAGGACAGCAACUUAUCACUGUUGUUACUAGUUCUGAUCCUUCUAGCCCAAAUAAUUUGCAACCUAUACAGUUAUUGGUUCAGGAUCCACUUGAAGCAGCUGCAGAUUCUUCCAAUGGUUCAACAGGUACUCCAGCACAUGUUACAGCACAAGUAGUAGUGAAUACUACCCAUUCUGGUCAGCAUACCCUUGUUGAUUCUGAUGCUGCAUCUACGUCUGCUGGUACCAUUGUCAGUGGAUCUCCACAUUUUAUUACAGUAACAGGCACCAGUGACUCACCAUCCUACGCAUCCCUCACAACGGCAGUAGUGUCUGGUGAACCAGAAGCUGUGGGGUCUGAGUCAGUUUCUCAUCCUACUUAUGUUCAAUAUGUUGAGGGGGAUGGUUCUACAUAUAUACCAACAAAUGGCCAAAUGACAUAUCCUGUAUAUGCAGUUGGAGAAGCAGGAGCAAUGUACACUCCUGCUUCCAGUCAAUAUUAUACACCAGCAACUACUCCAGUAACAUAUGCUCAGGUUACUGGUCAAGGUUCAAAUUCUACAACUGGUCAAUUGUUAUCUCAAGGUAAUGGGACAUAUCUCAUUCAACAGAGUGUCGUAGACGGAGAUCCAACAACACACGCGUUAAUAUCUGCAGCUACUGCACGUGCUAGUCCACAAACGGAAAAUACGGAAACUGUGGUUAGCGGAGGUGGAGGGGCAUAUUUGAUCAGUGGUAAUUCAGGAAAUGCUGCUGUCACCGUGGAAGAUGCUGCAACAGCAGCUGCAAAUAUGACGCAUGCCACUAGAGUUUCUCAAGCAACAGUUCAUUGGUUGCUUGAAAAUUAUGAAACAGCAGAUGGUGUCUCUCUUCCAAGAUCCACUCUUUAUAAUCAUUAUUUACGUCACUGUUCUGAAAAUAAAUUAGAUCCAGUAAAUGCUGCAAGUUUUGGAAAAUUAAUACGUUCUGUUUUUUUGGGCUUAAGAACCAGACGAUUAGGCACGAGAGGAAAUUCAAAAUAUCAUUAUUAUGGAAUUCGCGUUAAACCCAGUUCUCCUUUGGUUAUGCUAAAUGAAGAUGGAACACCUCGUCAACAACAAAAUACAAAUUCACAAACAAAACGAUUUAAAUUUGUAAAUCAAAAACAAGAUACCACAUAUGAAAAUAAUCCACAUUCAAAUACGAACAUUUCUUCGAAUAAUUCACCGCCACAAUAUCAUCAAUAUCUUGGUGAGGCAAGUGGUGCCAUUCCAGAAUUUCCAGAAAUAAUAGUUGGGCACAGUUCAUCUCUUCCAGAAGAUUGUACGUUAGAAGAUAUUGAUACGUUCCGUAGCAUAUACAGAGAACAUUGCGAAGCUUUUUUAGAUGCUGUUCUCAAUUUUGAAUUUGCUACUGUUGAAAGUCUUUGGAGAGAAUUUUGGCGUAGUCAAGACAAUAAUAAUGGUGAUGAAUGUGAGGAGGAAAAAUAUUUAUCAAAGACUAAGCUAUAUCAGAUGUGUAAAUGUUCAGAAGUUCAAGAUUUCAUAAGGAAAGUUGAUUAUACGUUUUAUCAAAAUUUGGUAGAAGUAUUAAUGCCUAAUGUAUUGCGACCCAUACCAAGUUCAUUAACACAAUCUAUUCGAAAUUUUGCAAAAGGAUUAGAAUCAUGGUUAACAUCAGCAAUGGCUGAUUGUCCAGAAGAAAUGACUCAAAUAAAGUUGACUGCUGUAUCUGCGUUUGCUCAGACAUUAAGGCGUUACACAUCAUUAAAUCAUCUUGCUCAAGCUGCACGUGCAGUGCUUCAGAAUUCUAGUCAAAUAAAUCAAAUGCUAGCUGAUUUAAAUCGUGUUGAUUUUCAUAAUGUGCAAGAACAGGCUUCUUGGGUAUGUCAAUGCGAUUAUGCAAUGGUACAACGUCUUGAAGCAGAUUUUAAAGUAACGCUACAACAACAAAAUUCAUUAGAAGAUUGGGCAAUUUGGUUAAAAAGUGUUGUAACGAAAGUUCUUAAACCGUUUGAAGAAAAACCAACAUUUGCAAAAGCUGCUCGACAAUUUUUGCUCAAAUGGUCCUUUUAUAGUUCCAUGGUUAUUCGUGAUCUUACUUUAAGAAGUGCAGCUAGUUUUGGAUCUUUUCAUUUAAUUCGAUUAUUAUAUGAUGAGUAUAUGUUUUACUUGAUUGAGCAUCAAGUAGCAGUUGCCACAGGAACAACUCCAAUUGCAGUAAUGGGAGACAAAAGUCAAAAUUGCUCUUUAAUUAGCGCAUUUGGUGCCACUUCUAAUGGAGAUACAUCAAAUGCGAAUCAACCAAAACGUAUGAAACUAAGCUAACUGCGUGCCUACGCCUUUUAGUUUUGAAAAUAAGCCAUUAGCACCUGAGAAUGACAUUAGCACAAGAGCAUGCAGGCCUAUUAAUACACUAGUCCUAUAAAUUAUAAUUUUAUAUAAGAUGAGAUCUUAUUGUAUUAUGACUUUGACAAAGAAGAUUUUUGCAUAACGAACGCCCAGGAUGUAUACAAUCUAACAUAUUACACAAAAAUCAAGUCGAGUAAGCUUAAAUAACAAACAUUAGUUUGUGCAAAAGAAAAGUCGCAAAGACAGCAUUUUUAUGGGGAAAAAAUUAUUUUCCUGUAAUUCAUAUCGACGAAUUCCAUUUUGCACAAAUAAUU
rnacentral:misc_RNA from 1 species